rnacentral:rRNA from 1 species
ACUCCUGCGGGAGGCAGCAGUGGGGAAUAUUGGACAAUGGGCGCAAGCCUGAUCCAGCCAUGCCGCGUGAGUGAUGAAGGCCCUAGGGUUGUAAAGCUCUUUUGUGCGGGAAGAUAAUGACGGUACCGCAAGAAUAAGCCCCGGCUAACUUCGUGCCAGCAGCCGCGGUAAUACGAAGGGGGCUAGCGUUGCUCGGAAUCACUGGGCGUAAAGGGUGCGUAGGCGGGUCUUUAAGUCAGGGGUGAAAUCCUGGAGCUCAACUCCAGAACUGCCUUUGAUACUGAAGAUCUUGAGUUCGGGAGAGGUGAGUGGAACUGCGAGUGUAGAGGUGAAAUUCGUAGAUAUUCGCAAGAACACCAGUGGCGAAGGCGGCUCACUGGCCCGAUACUGACGCUGAGGCACGAAAGCGUGGGGAGCAAACAGGAUUAGAUACCCCGGUAGUCCCAUG